GUUAUACGUGUCUCCUUAAUAUUCAGGCCAUAAUGAGCAAUUUGCCAGUACAAUGGGGAUCUGAUAAGAACUCAAGAUUUGCAAGAAGAACAAGAAGAUAAUCAUGGCAUUCUUGACAGUAUAUCAGCAGUGUAUAUAAACUGGACUGUGAUGGACCUUUGUCUCAUACAACUGGGAAAAGCUCAGCACCCCAGCCAAAGUUGAAUUGGAUUUCAGCUGGAUCAUUAAUUUUACCCCUAGUUUUGCAUCCAGAUGCUUGAGUAGAUGUGGUCUCUCUGUGUCUCCUACUCUGGAGUUGCCUGGUAGAGCUCAAGGUUGUGCAUGAAAGAACAAAGGAAGAAAAAUAAUCCACUCACACCAUCAACAAAUCCCACCCUGGAAAACGACUCCACAACAAUACCCGCUUCCGGUCCAAUUCUGAUGACGUCACUUCUGUCCAGCCCGAAUGACGUCACUUCCGGUCCAUUGAUGAUGACGUCACUUCCUUCCAGCCAGAAUGAUGUCACUUCCGGUGUUUUGUUGAUGAUGUCACAUGCCACAUUGUCUCCAAUUGCCAUUUUGUCUACUGUAUAAAAGCCAUCCAUUUUGAUACCCUAUUGUCGAAUGUCUAAUUGAAUUUUGAAGCUAUUUUGACCAUUUAUUGCAUCCAAGCAAUAUAGGGGGCAAUACCCCAACACUUAA